UACGAAGGGGGCUAGCGUUGUUCGGAUUUACUGGGCGUAAAGCGCACGUAGGCGGAUCGUUAAGUCGGGGGUGGAAUCCUGGAGCUCAACUCCAGAACUGCCUUCGAUACUGGGGAUCUCGAGUCCGGGAGAGGUGAGUGGAACUCCGAGUGUAGAGGUGAAAUUCGUAGAUAUUCGGAAGAACACCAGUGGCGAAGGCGGCUCACUGGCCCGGUACUGACGCUGAGGUGCGAAAGCGUGGGGAGCAAACAGG
rnacentral:rRNA from 1 species